rnacentral:rRNA from 1 species
UACGGAGGGCGCGAGCGUUAAUCGGAAUUACUGGGCGUAAAGCGCGCGUAGGCUGUUGUGUAAGUUGGGGGUGAAAUCCCACGGCUCAACCGUGGAACAGCCCUUGAUACUGCGCGACUUGAAUCCGGGAGAGGGUGGCGGAAUUCCAGGUGUAGGAGUGAAAUCCGUAGACAUCUGGAGGAACAUCAGUGGCGAAGGCGGCCACCUGGACCGGUAUUGACGCUGAAGCGCGAAAGCGUGGGGAGCAAACAGG